CAUGGAUAUUUAGCAUGUGUGUGUGAGUGUGUGUGUGUGUACACACACACACACACACACACACACACAUACACACACAUACACACAUAUAUAU
rnacentral:miRNA from 1 species